GACGAACGCUGGCGGCGUGCUUAACACAUGCAAGUCGAACGGAAAGGCCCUGCUUUUGUGGGGUGCUCGAGUGGCGAACGGGUGAGUAACACGUGAGUAACCUGCCCUUGACUUUGGGAUAACUUCAGGAAACUGGGGCUAAUACCGGAUAGGAGCUCCUGCUGCAUGGUGGGGGUUGGAAAGUUUCGGCGGUUGGGGAUGGACUCGCGGCUUAUCAGCUUGUUGGUGGGGUAGUGGCUUACCAAGGCUUUGACGGGUAGCCGGCCUGAGAGGGUGACCGGCCACAUUGGGACUGAGAUACGGCCCAGACUCCUACGGGAGGCAGCAGUGGUGAAUAUUGCACAAUGGGCGGAAGCCUGAUGCAGCAACGCCGCGUGCGGGAUGACGGCCUUCGGGUUGUAAACCGCUUUCGCCUGUGACUAAGCGUGAGUGACGGUAAUGGGUAAAGAAGCACCGGCUAACUACGUG
rnacentral:rRNA from 1 species